UAACACAUGCGAGUCGAACGGUAACAGGAAGAAGCUUGCUUCUUUGCUGACGAGUGGCGGACGGGUGAGUAAUGUCUGGGAAACUGCCUGAUGGAGGGGGAUAACUACUGGAAACGGUAGCUAAUACCGCAUAACGUCGCAAGACCAAAGAGGGGGACCUUCGGGCCUCUUGCCAUCGGAUGUGCCCAGAUGGGAUUAGCUAGUAGGUGGGGUAACGGCUCACCUAGGCGACGAUCCCUAGCUGGUCUGAGAGGAUGACCAGCCACACUGGAACUGAGACACGGUCCAGACCCCUACGGGAGGCAGCAGUGGGGAAUAUUGCACAAUGGGCGCAAGCCUGAUGCAGCCAUGCCGCGUGUAUGAAGAAGGCCUUCGGGUUGUAAAGUACUUUCAGCGGGGAGGAAGGGAGUAAAGUUAAUACCUUUGCUCAUUGACGUUACCCGCAGAAGAAGCACCGGCUAACUCCGUGCCAGCAGCCGCGGUAAUACGGGGGGUGCAAGCGUUAAUCGGAAUUACUGGGCGUAAAGCGCACGCAGGCGGUUUGUUGAGUCAGAUGUGAAAUCCCCGGGCUCAACCUGGGAACUGCAUCUGAUACUGGCAAGCUUGAGUCUCG
rnacentral:rRNA from 1 species